AGAGUUUGAUCAUGGCUCAGGAUGAACGCUGGCGGCGUGCCUAACACAUGCAAGUCGAGCGAUUCUCUUCGGAGAAGAGCGGCGGACGGGUGAGUAACGCGUGGGUAACCUGCCUCAUACACAUGGAUAACAUACCGAAAGGUAUUCUAAUACAAGAUGAUAUAAGAGAUUCGCAUGGAUUUCUUAUCAAAGCUCCGGCGGUAUGAGAUGGACCCGCGUCUGAUUAGCUAGUUGGUAAGGUAACGGCUUACCAAGGCGACGAUCAGUAGCCGACCUGAGAGGGUGAUCGGCCACAUUGGAACUGAGACACGGUCCAAACCCCUACGGGAGGCAGCAGUGGGGAAUAUUGCACAAUGGGCGAAAGCCUGAUGCAGCAACGCCGCGUGAGCGAUGAAGGCCUUCGGGUCGUAAAGCUCUGUCCUCAAGGAAGAUAAUGACGGUACUUGAGGAGGAAGCCCCGGCUAACUACGUGCCAGCAGCCGCGGUAAUACGUAGGGGGCUAGCGUUAUCCGGAUUUACUGGGCGUAAAGGGUGCGUAGGUGGUUUCUUAAGUCAGGAGUGAAAGGCUACGGCUUAACCGUAGUAAGCUCUUGAAACUGGGAAACUUGAGUGCAGGAGAGGAAAGUGGAAUUCCUAGUGUAGCGGUGAAAUGCGUAGAUAUUAGGAGGAACACCAGUAGCGAAGGCGGCUUUCUGGACUGUAACUGACACUGAGGCACGAAAGCGUGGGGAGCAAACAGGAUUAGAUACCCUGGUAGUCCACGCUGUAAACGAUGAGUACUAUGUGUCGGGGGUUACCCCCCUCGGUGCCGCAGCUAACGCAUUAAGUACUCCGCCUGGGGAGUACGCUCGCAAGAGUGAAACUCAAAGGAAUUGACGG
rnacentral:rRNA from 1 species